UGAGUAGGCGGUUGCAUAUGUCAGAUGUAAAAGGCACAGGCUUAACUUGUGUUAGCAUUUGAAACUGUGUGACUUGAGUGCAGGAGAGGUAAGUGGAAUUCCUAGUGUAGCGGUGAAAUGCGUAGAUAUUAGGAGGAACACCAGUGGCGAAGGCGACUUACUGGACUGUAACUGACGCUGAGUCACGAAAGCGUGGGUAGCAAACAG
rnacentral:rRNA from 1 species